AACGAACGCUGGCGGCGUGCCUAACACAUGCAAGUCGAACGGGAAAACCCGCAAGGGUGAGUACAGUGGCGCACGGGUGCGUAACACGUGGGUAAUCUGCCCAGAAGCCCGGAAUAACUCCCCGAAAGGGGUGCUAAUGCCGGAUGAGACCACGGGGACUUCGGUUCCUGGGGGAAAAGGUGGCCUCUGUAUACAAGCUAUCACUUCUGGAUGAGCCCGCGGCCCAUCAGCUAGUUGGCGGGGUAAUGGCCCACCAAGGCUACGACGGGUAGCUGGUCUGAGAGGACGAUCAGCCACACUGGAACUGAGACACGGUCCAGACUCCUACGGGAGGCAGCAGUGGGGAAUCUUGCGCAAUGGGCGAAAGCCUGACGCAGCAACGCCGCGUGUGUGAUGAAGGUCUUCGGAUCGUAAAGCACUGUCGGGAGGGACGAAUAAGGGCCGGGUGAACAAUCCGGUCCGACGACGGUACCUCCAGAGGAAGCACCGGCUAACUCUGUGCCAGCCGCCGCGGUAA
rnacentral:rRNA from 1 species